rnacentral:rRNA from 1 species
GACAGAGGUGCCGAGCGUUAGGCGGAAUCACUGGGCUUAAAGCGUGUGUAGGCGGAUUUGUAAGUACCUUGUGAAAUCCCACAGCUCAACUGUGGAACUGCUUGGUAUACUGCUUAUCUUGGGCCACUUAGGGGUUACCGGAACAAACGGUGGAGCGGUGAAAUGCGUAGAUAUCGUUUGGAACGCCAAUGGUGAAAACAGGUAACUGGGAGUGUGCCGACGCUGAGACACGAAAGCCAGGGGAGCGAACGGG